rnacentral:rRNA from 1 species
UACGUAGGGUGCGAGCGUUAAUCGGAAUUAUUGGGCGUAAAGAGCUCGUAGGCGGUGUGUCGCGUCGGCCGUGAAAACUUGGGGCUUAACUCUGAGCGUGCGGUCGAUACGGGCAUCACUUGAGUUCGGCAGGGGAGACUGGAAUUCCUGGUGUAGCGGUGAAAUGCGCAGAUAUCAGGAGGAACACCGGUGGCGAAGGCGGGUCUCUGGGCCGAUACUGACGCUGAGGCACGAAAGCGUGGGGAGCAAACAGG